rnacentral:lncRNA from 1 species
AGACCCCGAUGUAUCAAAUCCGAGGUCAGGCAGUGGUCCUGAAGCUGAGCAAAUGUAUGUGGAAGCAGGCUCAGGCCUAGCGGCACUUCGCCUCCUUCACACAGACCCCCGCCGGACACCGCGCCCUGCCGCGACUCACUUAGCAAGUCUCGCGGAUUAGGUUUGAUCGCAUUCGGCCCUUUCCCGGAUAGCUCGUCGCGGAUACUUCUCACAGCGAAGCAGCAGCUCCCAGAAGCCGUAAAGCUAUCCCAGAGCGAGGCACCAUACGUAAAUCUUCCGCGUCGCUACGUGACGUCAGUGCGAGCGACCCCGGGCCGGCUGCGUGGAGCUGGCGCUGCCUCUCCUGAAGCCGAGGCGCUAACUUGAGUGAAGAGGUCUAUAGGCUUUUUCACUUUUGGUUAUCUGCUCAGGCGCUCCUUGGGGUCGCGCAUGGUCUCGGACAGGGUUUGCAAGGACUUCGGAGCUAACCAGUUUGGAGCCAUAACCCUUUCGUACUUGCCAAAAAACUCUGGGCAAGACUCUUGAAUUUUGAGCCGCAGUAUUCUCGUUCAUAAGGUGAGAAUAAAAACAUCACCUAGGGUUGAUGUGAAGAGAGAUGAAAUCAUUGUGAAAUAGGAGAGUUAUUGCUUUCAACCAAUGACAUUUUCUGGAAACGUGCUGGAGAUAUGGCUGCAGCAGUGACGCCUGCAAACGACGUUCCUGUCAUCAUGAUGCUGACAUUUUAAUUGGGAAGCAGAUUGAAACGAUAACUAAGGAAUUUGACAGGAGCAUUUAGUAGGACCUGUAAAGAAAUUAAAGCAGGUCCGAGGUGGAGUUUUGUAAACUAUAUGCCUGAAUAGAACUUUCUGUUUCCAAGGGAAUUGUUACAGUUGGAGACAUGUCAAUUAUUACAAUAAGCGUCAAGGGCAAUAACAGAGGUGUUUUAAAGCUACUGUCUGGUGGCAGAAUAAUCGGGAUUUUUUUGUUUGGGGGGUUUUAGCCGGGGGAGGGACUGCGAAGACAGCUCUGCAUCAAAACAGUACGUGAGAAAAAAGCAUAGGACGCUCUCGCAGCCGUAGUUGUUGGUGACAAGAAACUGUGCUUCUAAUCUAAGCAAAAAAUAUCUCCACAUGCCAACUAUACUUUUCCAAGAUGUACCAUGGACUACUCAAACUAACACAGCCUUAUUUAUGUAUUUAGGUUGGAAGUGGGCAAAAGUGUAUCUUGUCUAUGUUUCUAUGUUUCUACGUUGGGAUGACACCAUCAUCCACCCAGCCAGACAGUUAUCAACCUUCCCACUUUCUUAACCUCUUACAUCCGAUUAGACCCUAUGUCCUCUAGUUCUCAGUCUUGAGACCAGCACCCAGCUGGCUACAUCAGAAUUGCCGGUGGUGAUGUUUUAGAAGAUUCCAAAUUCCUGGACUCCAUCCCCGGAGGUUCAUCCCCUAGUUUUCUAGUGAGGGGCCUAGAACCUGCGUUUUUUAAGUGUCAUGUUCAUCGCCAUUACUGCUACUUUAGUUCAGGUCUUCUUGGUCAGCUUUUUCCUAAAACGUUUUCAGUUUUGUUUGCCUCUGAUUGACUCUGAAUUGCUGCCAAAAUGAUGUUUUAUUAUUCCAGUAUCAUCAUCCAACUCUCUGAUAUUAAUGAUACCUUUUUUAAAGUUUUUCUUCCCUUGCAGUAUCUAUUUCCCUCAAGUUUCCUUUUUUUUUCUUCUGUUGAUUUUGUGCUCUAUCUUUCACAUUAGAGGCUUUCCUAGGAUGUCUGGUGGUCCUUAUCUGCUCAUAUGUAAGUGGGGGUAUAUUUAAAAGUUGAUUGGAAGCUGUUGAGCCCAUGGGACGUUUGUUGAAAAUCAAGUGGGAGAGGAGGGGUAUGGAGGCUGCGGUAUGUCUCAGAAUUUAGUACAAUUUUCACUUAAUUCUCUUUGUUUUAGGUGCCUGAUGUCCUCCAUUACAGAGACCCCGUUUUACUCCUGAGCAAUAAAAAAAGGCUUCAGAAUAAGGCGGGGGCCGGGGGUGGCAUAAAGGAUAUAACACUCUCCUAAAUGAACUUCCAGUCCUUUUAGGUACCCUCUUCACUUCUACUUCCUGAAGCCAGUUUCUUAGUUUUUUAGGGGGUUCUGUGAUACAAAUAGAAUUGCUUGUUGGUUUUGCUCACUGGGGGUUUAGAAUUCAGGUUUUUCAAGUCAACUGAGCCCUUUGCUAUUGAUUCCAGAAUUUCAUUUCCAUUAUUCCUUUUCUUUAAUCCUUAAGGGUGUAUGACUUUAAAAAUCCUGUUACUGUCAUUUUCAGGGAGUCUUAGGGAGCAAAUGUAGAACACUAUGUUUAAGACAGCAUUUUUACCUGAUAAUCCAAGGUGAUCAUUCUAAAACAUAUACCAGAUCAGUCAUAGCAUUCUUCUAUGAGAAUAAGAAGCUUCAAUGAUCCCUCGUUGCCUGCAUAACAUUCCCCACACCUGAUACUGUAAACUCUAGUCAUAAUGAAAGGCUAGUAAGAGUUCUGAGAAUACAAAGUCCUUAUCAUGUUUCCACACCUGUUUUGGCUGGGCUCAGGCUGAAAUACCCUUCUUUCUCCAUGCCUGCUUGAUGAAAAUACAGCUUAAACAUGACUUCCUCAGUGAUGCCUUUCUUCAAGCCCUAAAGAAUAAUUUAUCCAGACUCCUCCAAACUCCAUCCCACGAACCCAUCAUACUCUUGGGAGGGGUCAUUUGUCAUGGGACCUGCAAAUUCUGGGUUUGCCAAGAAUGUAAGGUCCUAACUGCUCUUUACCUAGAUCAUUUUUCAGGGUUGUUUGGGAUGAUCAGUUUCAUAGCUGAAGUAUUCUUCCCAAAGAGUAGGCUUGCUUCCACUUAACUACAAAAGUAUGGAAUCCCCCAAACUCAGUAUUCCUCUCCUAUAAUGUAACCCACUGACUGCAUGUGCAGACAUCCAUGGAAGCCCAUCUUCACCAUCCUGGUGGGACUUGGGGGACAUGGAAAAUGCAUAAACAUGAAGUUCUGGCUUCUGCUUUUGCCAUAAAUUACAAAGUUCUUUGUCACCCAGGAAUCCAAGUUUACUGCCAUAAAACAGUUAACAGGCUAUCUUACUAACUUUAAAAUAGGUUUCAAUACCAGACCCUUCCCAGACAGCGACAUAUAUUUCUUACAGCAUCAGUUGUUACUGUUGCUGCAUUAUUUCCAAAUCUGACCUCCUAUACUAAAUAGCACCCUUAUAGCAGGGAUUCAUGUCUUAGGCGCUUGUUUCCCAAACUAUUUUUUUUUUUACUCAGCUCCAUCCACUUACACUGUUCCAGUUGCAGGGAAAUAUCAAAUGCCCACCCUGUACCCUGCUGAUAUUUUGUACCUUGACUGGCACACUCUACUUAUUUUAAGGCUUAUCUCUCAGUUGUCAAUGUCAUUGUUUCCUUAAAAAGUUCAAAAAUAAUUUGGAAAAUCCUUGACCCUACCUGAAACAAGGUUAGGUCCUCCUGUUAUGUGCUGUUGUACCACAUAUCACAGUUGGGAUAAUAAGGCAUUGUGUGAGUUACUCUAAGUGUUCAGCUGCUCAGGAGAAGGCAGAGAGCAAAUUAGUGGUUGAGUUUUUCAGGCUUGGUGUUUUGACAGGUGUAUUAGUCUGUUCUCACAUUGCUUUAAGUAAAUAUCUGAGACUGGGUAAUUUAUAAAGAAAAGAGGUUUAAUUGACUCGGUUCCACAUGGCUGGGGAGCCCUCAGGAAACUUAAAAUCAUGGUGGAAGGCACCUCUUCACAGGGCACGAGGAAAGAAUAUGUAACUAUGGAAGUACACUGGAAGGCCAGGAGUGGUGGUGGCUCACACCUGUAAUCCCAGCACUUUGGGAGGCCGAGGCAGGUGGAUCACGAGGUCAAGAAAUCAAGACCAUCCUGGCCAAUACAGUGAAACCGUCUCUUUGAAAAAUAUAAAAAUUAAUUUGGCAUGGUGACACACGCCUGUAGUCCCAGCUACUCUGGAGGCUGAGGCAGGAGAAUCACUUGAACCCAGGAGGUGGAGGUUGCAGUGAACCGAGAUUGCGCCACUGCACUCCAGCCUGGUGACGAAGUGAGACUCCAUCUCAAAAAAUAAAUAAAUAAAUAAAAAUAAACCUCACUGUUUGUUUUAACAAUAACAAGCGUGGUAAGGGUGGUGUCAGUCCAUAAGUUAGAUAGGCAGUUGCUAGGCAGAUGUCGUUGCAGAAGUAUGUGUGUGUGUGUGUGUGUUGUGUUUAAGGUUGUGGUGGCCUUUGUGCAGGUUGUAAAUUUUUGUAGUCUUUUGAUAGUUCUUGUUAUCAACCAUAUGUACAUGAGAACCCUUCCCCUUCAUGGCGUUUCCUGGCUCCGUUUGCCAGGGUUUUAAUACGAGUGACUCCAUUUUGAAUCUGACAACUUUCACAUUUCCCCUUUUGAUCAAGGUCUUUCUCAAAAGCAUCACUGAUCAAUCAUCCUGUAUUUAGGUUUUGAUAUCUCUUGGUGCCAGUCUGCCCUCAUGUUGAAGGGAGUCACUGGUAACUAGGAAUUAGCAUCAAAACCCUUUAGCCACAUUUGAACAACAAAAGAGGUUUGGAGGGAGUGGAUCUCAGGCUAAGUCUACCUGGAGUCCACUGUUAAGUUCAAUUCUGUCUGUUCCAUAGGCACUGUCUAUCAUCUCAAAGUGCUGGGAGAGCAUUAUUCUCUUAGGAGUUGCAUUUCUAUGCAAAUUUGACAAGAAACAGGUAUAAAGUUCUUAAAAAAAAAAAAAAGAAAAUACAAAGUAACAAUCUCAGCAUAAUAGUUUUCAGCCGUGAACCUAGGCUUAAAGACAACCAGUUGAAUAAAUCAAAUGAUCAUGAAGAAUUAGGUGAGACUUAUUAUACCAUGUGGGCUAUUUUCUUAUUUUGUGUAUAUAAAUUCCCCAAAGGAAUGUAUCCAGGUACAGCAUGUAGUAUGAGCAAAAGCACAGACAUCUCUUUGUUUAGCUGGUACACAGCAAUCCUAUUACUUAGCAUUCCAUGACUGGCUUGAAUUAAAGCAGAGAGAGCUAACUCUGUUUUAAAAAAGACCAUUAGUACAAUUUGAACAAAAAGUUUACUGAGGAUGUUGCCAGUAUUACCCCCUGGGUGGACUAAAGGAUUUAUGAAGUCAGAUUCUGUCAAGUCACCCACAAUAUCUACCGAUUGUGAAAUUAUCCUGCCAAAUCAAAGAGGUAGGCAUAAACAAGGAAGAAUUAAGAGGGGCAAGAGUGUCAUUAGGAUGGGGAGUUAUGUUCCAUCAUCUUGGGAAAAGCUGCCCACAGUAUGGAGAUGUUAGCUUUUCAUUCUGGUUUACAGUUUUAAUGUCUCUGGUUAUAGCAUUGGGCAGUUUUGUGAACCUUUGGGCAUGAGAUUUCUCCCUUAAAAUUCAGUUAAGUUUGAGCUUGGGCUUUAAGAACAUAGCAAGUCUCGUUUUUAGUAAUUCUAUGGAAGAAAGUUGGAUUGGAGGAACCUAGAAGAAUUAAAGAUCCAGUCCAGCGACCAAGGUUUACCUAGUUGCACAGAAAUUUUCUUAACACUGGCAGGUGCCCUACUAGUAAUCUUUCUUGUCUGUGACCAGUUUAUCCUUAACAUGGGAGACUUUUUCUUUGGAUACCUUCAAUAUUUUCAGAGUGGUAUUUUCAGAGUGGUGCCUUUCACUUAGUUAAUAUGCAUUUAUGUUCCUUCUGUCAUUUAAUGGCUUGAUUGCUCAUUUCUUUUAAGCACUGAAUAAUAUUCUAUUGUCUGAAUGUACUACAGUUUAUCUAUUCAUUUACCUACCCACCCUGACACUUUGAAUCUAAUCCUGCUCUUCCAUGACACUCCCUCUUUCCCCAUAGUGCUUCCUAGGAACUUGCCACGAUGUAGUGCUUACUUAGUACUGCUUUUCUAAUUACUUAAUUUGUCCCUCAUAGUCAACCAGCAGUUUUGCCUGGUUCAUAAGAGAUGGCCUAUUUAUUGAAAUGCCUGGAUCAGAGAAAUAAGAUAUGACUAGCUGGUGCCAAGAAUGGAGCCUGGAAGUUGUCUCCAUGCUGUUUACCAUAAAGCACUAACUAAAGUCACUAUUUAAAAAAAAAAAAAAAAGGACACACAUAUUUAAACAUACUUAUUACACAUAUUUAUCAACAAGGCAUCACAAAUAAGUCACAAAAAGUAGGCUUAGUUUAGUUCACAAUAUAAAUCCCGUGAAAACAC